rnacentral:rRNA from 1 species
UCGGGAAUUUUGGGCAAUGGGGGAAACCCUGACCCAGCAACGCCGCGUGAAGGAUGAAGUAUUUCGGUAUGUAAACUUCGAAAGAAUAGGAAGAAUAAAUGACGGUACUAUUUAUAAGGUCCGGCUAACUACGUGCCAGCAGCCGCGGUAAUACGUAGGGACCAAGCGUUGUUCGGAUUUACUGGGCGUAAAGGGCGCGUAGGCGGCAUGACAAGUCACUUGUGAAAUCUCUGGGCUUAACCCAGAACGGCCAAGUGAUACUGUCGCGCUAGAGUGCAGAAGGGGCAAUCGGAAUUCUUGGUGUAGCGGUGAAAUGCGUAGAUAUCAAGAGGAACACCUGAGGUGAAGACGGGUUGCUGGGCUGACACUGACGCUGAGGCGCGAAAGCGUGGGGAGCAAACAGGAUUAGAUACCCUAGUAGUCCCUGAGCGGGCUGGCAAGGCGCAU